GGAAGUGGAUAGGAUCUGGUGGUCCUUGCGGACUUCAAAUCCGUGGUCCCCUCGGUUGGUCCGGGGGGAGGUGGGUUCGAUUCCCACCCCUUCC
rfam:Candidate division Zixibacteria bacterium SM23_73 WORSMTZ_14510, whole genome shotgun sequence.